rnacentral:rRNA from 1 species
AGUGAACGCUGGCGGCAGGCCUAACACAUGCAAGUCGAACGGCAGCACAAGAGAGCUUGCUCUCUGGGUGGCGAGUGGCGGACGGGUGAGGAAUGCAUCGGAAUCUGCCCAUUUGUGGGGGAUAACCUCGGGAAACCGGGACUAAUACCGCAUACGACCUACGGGUGAAAGCAGGGGAUCUUCUGACCUUUCGCAGAUGGAUGAGCCGAUGUCGGAUUAGCUAGUUGGAGGGGUAAAGGCCCACCAAGGCGACGAUCCGUAGCUGGUCUGAGAGGAUGAUCAGCCACACUGGGACUGAGACACGGCCCAGACUCCUACGGGAGGCAGCAGUGGGGAAUAUUGGACAAUGGGCGCAAGCCUGAUCCAGCCAUGCCGCGUGUGUGAAGAAGGCCUUCGGGUUGUAAAGCACUUUUGUUGGGAAAGAAAAGCAGCCGGUUAAUACCCGGUUGUCAUGACGGUACCCAAAGAAUAAGCACCGGCUAACUUCGUG